rnacentral:rRNA from 1 species
GGAGCUUGCUCCUUUAGGUUAGCGGCGGACGGGUGAGUAACACGUGGGCAACCUGCCCUGCAGACUGGGAUAACUUCGGGAAACCGGAGCUAAUACCGGAUAACACCGAAAACCGCAUGGUUUUCGGUUGAAAGGCGGCUUUUAGCUGUCACUGCAGGAUGGGCCCGCGGCGCAUUAGCUAGUUGGUGAGGUAACGGCUCACCAAGGCGACGAUGCGUAGCCGACCUGAGAGGGUGACCGGCCACACUGGGACUGAGACACGGCCCAGACUCCUACGGGAGGCAGCAGUAGGGAAUCUUCCGCAAUGGACGAAAGUCUGACGGAGCAACGCCGCGUGAGCGAAGAAGGUCUUCGGAUCGUAAAGCUCUGUUGUCAGGGAAGAACAAGUGCCGUUCGAACAGGGCGGUACCUUGACGGUACCUGACGAGGAAGCCACGGCUAACUACGUGCCAGCAGCCGCGGUAAUACGUAGGUGGCAAGCGUUGUCCGGAAUUAUUGGGCGUAAAGCGCGCGCAGGCGGUUCCUUAAGUCUGAUGUGAAAUCUCGCGGCUCAACCGCGAGCGGCCAUUGCAAACUGGGGAACUUGA